AGUGAACGCUGGCGGUAGGCCUAACACAUGCAAGUCGAACGGCAGCACAGUAAGAGCUUGCUCUUACGGGUGGCGAGUGGGGGACGGGUGAGGAAUACAUCGGAAUCUACUUUUUCGUGGGGGAUAACGUAGGGAAACUUACGCUAAUACCGCAUACGACCUACGGGUGAAAGCAGGGGAUCUUCGGACCUUGCGCGAUUGAAUGAGCCGAUGUCGGAUUAGCUAGUUGGCGGGGUAAAGGCCCACCAAGGCGACGAUCCGUAGCUGGUCUGAGAGGAUGAUCAGCCACACUGGAACUGAGACACGGUCCAGACUCCUACGGGAGGAAGCAGUGGGGAAUAUUGGACAAUGGGCGCAAGCCUGAUCCAGCCAUACCGCGUGGGUGAAGAAGGCCUUCGGGUUGUAAAGCCCUUUUGUUGGGAAAGAAAAGCAGCAGGUUAAUACCCCGCUGUUCUGACGGUACCCAAAGAAUAAGCACCGGCUAACUUCGUG
rnacentral:rRNA from 1 species